UAGCCACAGCCCUAACCCUAGCCUGAGGUAGGAGGUUGUGUGCAAGCUCACCACUAACCUAUAGUACACAGAGAGCCUUUAUCCCACAACACAACACAAAACAAUACUUC
ensembl:miRNA Mir7k microRNA 7k